UACGACUUCCCUGUGCAUUUGUCACUGUGCAUUCUGUUUUCAGUGUGCUGUCAUGCCAGUGCUGUUAACUUUGCAUCUUUUCAUAACUUCCAGAUAUGGGAGAUAAAUGCAAUGCAUACUUCAUUCAAGUAGUCUUGGCAGGGAGAUGCUAUGAGCUGCAUCGCUGAACAAGUUACUUCUCUAUUACUUCAUGGCUUAUUCUUCUCCUCUACCUCCAUUCUGAUUCCAGACUUUGUCUUCGGUAAGCAAGCAGGAUUCUUACAUAUUGUGUGAGAGUGAGACUAAAGCAUGCUUGCAGUUGACUAGCAAUAUUAUAGCCUCUACAGGAAUCUGGCUUUCUGUUAAGGAACUGAAAAGAAUGGUGAAAUUUAGGAUCUGGGUUCUUAUCGUUAGAUCUUUGGACAUUAAAGAGUCCAUUUGAAAUUAACAUAUUGUUGGUUGAGAUAGUGUUUAAAGAAAAUGGUAGUUGAAGUUGUAACAUUAAUAUAUUCUGAAUGAGGAAUGAAGCUUUAGUCAUUUGGACUAAAUUUCCAUA